GUAGGUGAACCUGCGGAAGGAUCAUUUGCAACCGAGUUGGGUGGACGCGGGUAAAAUCACGUCUACUCGAAAGCACAGAGACCUCGCGUUUCUGAUGUUUGCGCUUGUAUUGUUUGACAUUCGUGCCACUUUUAAAUAUAUAUAACUUUUAACAAUGGAUCUCUUGGCUCUU
rnacentral:misc_RNA from 1 species